rnacentral:rRNA from 1 species
UACGUAGGUCCCGAGCGUUGUCCGGAUUUAUUGGGCGUAAAGCGAGCGCAGGUGGUUUAUUAAGUCUGGUGUAAAAGGCAGUGGCUCAACCAUUGUAUGCAUUGGAAACUGGUAGACUUGAGUGCAGGAGAGGAGAGUGGAAUUCCAUGUGUAGCGGUGAAAUGCGUAGAUAUGUGGAGGAACACCGGUGGCGAAAGCGGCUCUCUGGCCUGUAACUGACACUGAGGCUCGAAAGCGUAGGGAGCAAACAGG